rnacentral:rRNA from 1 species
UGUAGUCAUAUGCUUGUCUCAAAGAUUAAGCCAUGCAUGUCUAAGUAUAAGCAAUUAUACAGCGAAACUGCGAAUGGCUCAUUAUAUAAGUUAUCGUUUAUUUGAUAGUACCUUACUACUUGGAUAACCGUGGUAAUUCUAGAGCUAAUACAUGCUAAAAAUCCCGACUUCGGAAGGGAUGUAUUUAUUAGAUUAAAAACCAAUGCCCUUCGGGGCUCCUUGGUGAUUCAUGAUAACUUCUCGAAUCGCAUGGCCUUGUGCCGGCGAUGGUUCAUUCAAAUUUCUUCCCUAUCAACUUUCGAUGUUUGGGUAUUGGCCAAACAUGGUUGCAACGGGUAACGGAGGGUUAGGGCUCGACCCCGGAGAAGGAGCCUGAGAAACGGCUACUACAUCCAAGGAAGGCAGCAGGCGCGCAAAUUACCCAAUCCCGACACGGGGAGGUAGUGACAAUAAAUACUGAUACAGGGCUCUUUUGGGUCUUGUAAUUGGAAUGAGUACAAUUUAAAUCCCUUAACGAGGAACAAUUGGAGGGCAAGUCUGGUAAUCG